AUUGAACGCUAGCGGGAUGCUUUACACAUGCAAGUCGAACGGCAGCGCGGACUUCGGUCUGGCGGCGAGUGGCGAACGGGUGAGUAAUGUAUCGGAACGUGCCCAGUAGCGGGGGAUAACUACGCGAAAGCGUAGCUAAUACCGCAUACGCCCUACGGGGGAAAGCAGGGGAUCGUAAGACCUUGCACUAUUGGAGCGGCCGAUAUCGGAUUAGCUAGUUGGUGAGGUAACGGCUCACCAAGGCGACGAUCCGUAGCUGGAUUGAGAGGACGACCAGCCACACUGGGACUGAGACACGGCCCAGACUCCUACGGGAGGCAGCAGUGGGGAAUUUUGGACAAUAGGGGCAACCCUUAUCCAGCCAGCCCGCGUGUGCGAUGAAGGCCUUCGGGUUGUAAAGCACUUUUGGCAGGAAAGAAACGUCGCGGGCUAAUACCCCGUGGAACUGACGGUACCUGCAGAAUAAGCACCGGCUAACUACGUG
rnacentral:rRNA from 1 species